rnacentral:rRNA from 1 species
UACGUAGGGGCCUAGCGUUGUCCGGAUUUAUUGGGCGCAAAGAGCUCGUAGGCGGUUUGGUGAGUCGGGUGUGAAAUCUCCACGCUCAACGUGGAGGGGCCACCCGAUACUGCCAUGACUAGAGUCCGGUAGGGGAGUGUGGAAUUCCCGGUGUAGCGGUGAAAUGCGCAGAUAUCGGGAGGAACACCAGUGGCGAAAGCGGCUCCUGGUCCAGCAUCGACGUUCAGGCACGAAAGCGUGGGGAGCAAACAGG